GAUGAACGCUAGCGGGAGGCCUAACACAUGCAAGCCGAGCGGUAGAGAUUCUGCGGAAUCUUGAGAGCGGCGUACGGGUGCGGAACACGUGUGCAACCUGCCUUCAUCAGGGGGAUAGCCUUUCGAAAGGAAGAUUAAUACCCCAUAAUAUAUUAAGUGGCAUCACUUGAUAUUGAAAACUCCGGUGGAUAAAGAUGGGCACGCGCAAGAUUAGAUAGUUGGUAGGGUAACGGCCUACCAAGUCAGUGAUCUUUAGGGGGCCUGAGAGGGUGAUCCCCCACACUGGUACUGAGACACGGACCAGACUCCUACGGGAUGCAGCAGUGAGGAAUAUUGGACAAUGGGUGAGAGCCUGAUCCAGCCAUCCCGCGUGAAGGAUGACGGCCCUAUGGGUUGUAAACUUCUUUUGUAUAGGGAUAAACCUUUCCACGUGUGGAAAGCUGAAGGUACUAUACGAAUAAGCACCGGCUAACUCCGUGCCAGCCGCCGCAGUAAUAC
rnacentral:rRNA from 1 species